rnacentral:pre_miRNA from 1 species
AUUAUAAUCAUCUGCAGGACUUGUUAAAACACAGAUUUCUGAUUCUCUUCCCCCUCAUUUUAUAAUUCAGUGAUUCUGCAAUGGGGCAUGAGAAUUCGUGUUUCUAACAAGUUCUAAGGUGAUGCUAAU